AACGAACGCUGGCGGCAUGCCUAACACAUGCAAGUCGAACGAAGUCUUCGGACUUAGUGGCGCACGCGUGCGUCACGCGUGGGAAUCUGCCCUUGGGUACGGAAUUACUCAGUGAAAUUUGUGCUAAUACCGUAUAAUGUCUUCGGACCAAAGAUUUAUCGCCCAAGGAUGAGCCCGCGUAAGUUUAGCUAGUUGGUGGGGUAAAAGCCUACCAAGGCGACGAUCUUUAGCUGGUCUGAGAGGAUGAUCAGCCACACUGGGACUGAGACACGGCCCAGACUCCUACGGGAGGCAGCAGUGGGGAAUAUUGGACAAUGGGCGAAAGCCUGAUCCAGCAAUGCCGCGUGAGUGAUGAAGGCCCUAGGGUUGUAAAGCUCUUUUACCAGGGAUGAUAAUGACAGUACCUGGAGAAUAAGCUCCGGCUAACUCCGUG
rnacentral:rRNA from 1 species